CCAACCCACCCAGCACCCACAGGAGAGGAUGAAAGUUUGGAGACUUCUCGCUGAACAUGUAGUCGGUCGCUGAAACGAAGUGACCUGAGUAGCUGCAAACAGGACGCUUGAAACGAAAGCAUGUGCAGCUGCUAACGAAAGGAGACGCCUGAAAUGAAGGCGUGUGGAGGCCGGACUGACACCGCUACGGGUCAGCGCCUGGACCGGACCUCAACGAGAGACACCUGCCGCGACGGGUCGGCAAAGGUGUUUGCAUGUCUCUCUACAGGUGAAGGAAUCAAGUCGAUUCCAGCAAAGAACGUGAAGCGGUACCACGCAUCAAAGCUCAUUGACGGUUCCACUUCAGCCAGUGACCCCGCGAGUGGAAGCCGAGAAGCCGGCACCCAAAUGUGAACUAGGCAGAACCACUGAGAGAAGAUCGUCUGCCAGAAAUGGCUCAAGAAAAGAAUGGAGUUUUACUAUUAUUUGUGCAGAUGCAUGUUGCUUUUACCCUUUUUUGUUUUUGCAGUGAAGCUUUACCUGUAAAUCAACCAAAGACAAAUGUUUGGGUUGCUUUAGCCAAGUCCACAGGCUCUGACACCAUCUGUUUAUCCAACACAAGCCCUGACAAACCCUUCUCAACUUGUUUAGUUGGAGUGCCUUUCCCAGAAGGUUUUGGUAACGUUACUUUUGAUAAAUAUUGGCCAUAUGAUGAUCAUCACAUUUCUCAAACUCCCAGCCCGAGACACCAAACUUAUAUUGAUAAUUUCAAAGUUGAUAAAUCUGACCUUCAAGAAUUAGAAAUUUUAAGCUCUUUAACUAUGGACACUUGUUAUGUGUUUCAUUUUGUAGGAAAAAAUGGCCCUCACCUAAACAUCACUCCUUAUCACCAGUUUAUGGUAAACUCUGGAGAAUCAAUUGUUACAAGCAUUUUGUUGCCUCAGCUAAGUUCUUCAAUUGCAUUGAAUCAACUAAACAAAUUAGG